rnacentral:lncRNA from 10 species
CAAGCUGCUUAAUUUGAGUCUCAAUUCCAGUAAUCAUCAUGAGAAAGGAGAAAAAUGAUGCUUUUGAUAAAAGCAAGUCAAGAAAGGUUGUGUCCUCCUCCUCACAUUUUUUUUGGAAAGCAGUCCUAUUCAAAUUUAAAAUUGAAGCCACUUCCUCUCUUCCCAACAGUAUUGAAACCUGAGAAGAAAAGAGCGCAGCCUUAAAUGCUAUUACUCUGCAGCUAGUACAAAAGGAGAGGGAUUUGCAUUAGAACAAGUGCUAAGAGUUGUGCUUCAGGCAAGCUUUCCAAUGAAAGAAUCCAUCAGGAUUAUUACAGUGAGGCAUCCUCUUCCUGACUAUUCUAGUGAAGAUCGAAGCAAAUAAACAGUAAAAUUCUUAAGAGGCAGGAUUUUUUUUACACAUGUGUUUUACGAUAUUUCUGCAACCCCCACAACCUUCUUGUUACAAAUGACAUUGCUACAACCUUACACCCUAAGGCCUGCCUUGGUAAACUCACAGGAAGAUAUGUGCAAUGAGGAAAAGAAAACGCAAUGGUAGCUCCCAAGCCUGGAACUCAUGUUAAAGUAUUCCCUUGGAAAUGAUGAUUCAGCAAUAGAAGCUUGAACCCAACUGAAUUGUAAGCUAAUAAUUGUCAUCACCUAUAAUAACUUAUUUGGCCUUCAACUACAUCAAUAACGAAAAACAGCAAACCAAAGAAAAAUUAAUGCCUCAGUACACACAUUCUCUUCUGCUGAAGUGAGAACCAAGAUUCUUAUAGGAUUCAUUUGUUUCCCUGAGUUGCUACAGAUCAUGAUAAUUACUCGUAAAACUAUCAAGUGUUGCAAAUUCCUAGAUCUUGCACUAAAAUGAUUACUUUUAUUUUGAAUACACUGAACAUACUUUUAUAUUCUCAUUUGACAAAAAAAGAGCUAAUACCCUGAUGGGUAAAAAACUAAACUUGCAUAAACUUUAGGAUGCCCAAAUCUAAUUUUCUUUCCAUGCUUUUCUGAGAUUUGUUCUUCUUGAUAAUCCUUUAGCUUUUAUCACAUGACACUUUCUUCCCUCUGAUACCUCAAGUCACUUUUAAUACAGUCAGAAAGAGGCUGGGCACGGUGACUAGGCUGGGAGCAGUGACUCAAACCUGUAAUCCCAGCACUUUAGAAGACCAAGGGUGGGCGGAUCACUUGAGGUCAAGAGUUUGAGACCAGCCUGGCCAACAUGGUGAAACCCACCUACAAAAAGUAGCCGGGCAUGAUGGCAUGGGCCUGUAAUCCCAGAUACUCAGGAGGCUGAGGAGUGAGAAUUUCUUGAACCCGGGAGGUGGAGGUUGCAGUGAGCUGAGAUCAUGCCACUGUGCUCCAGCCUGGGUGACAGAGUGAGACUCUGUCUCAGCAAAUAAAAAUAAGAAAAAAAAAAAUACAGUAAGAAAGAGUCCUUGUACUCUAUUGGUUCUUCCCCAAUAAUUUUUCACAUAACUCCUUCUUUACACAGAGCAAUUGCAUCAGAAUGAGAGUGUUUUUGUGGUGGUGAGCAGCUGAUUUGUCUUUGUAUCCUUGGGGCCUGCCACGUACUAGUAUAUGCCCAACGUCUGUUAAAUUGUUAAAAUGAAAGCUGAAGUUAGUUUACUCAAUAUCCAUUGAGAGAAACAAUCGUUAUAAACAUUAUACAUGGAGGUAUAUUUUCUAUUCCUCAUUAAUUUUCAAUUAUCU